AUUUCCGGUCACGGGGAACCCUCACUUCCGGUCACGGGGAACCCUCAUUUCAAAUUCCCAUGACAAGCGCCAUUUGAGGACAGAUAUGUCCCUUUACAGCCAGUGGCUCUGCAAAUCCAAUCAGAGGCCAUUGUGUUUAGCCCUGGGUCUUUUGCCUUUCGAGAAUGCGGUCCUCAGCAUGUCCCCUUUCAAACAUGGGCUAUUCUGGUGCUGUCUUCAGUUCUGCCGUGACUGGCAAGUGAUUACAGUGCUAUAUUUUAUGUGCCUGAGUUCACAGAGCAAAUUACAUAGCGUGAGUGGCUGGCGUGGUGAUUAGUGGCUGUGUGUGAAGACUAGAAUCGCUGUAUUUGCAUGUUUCUGAAUAAUGAGACUCUUAUCUCCAUUCUACCGCAAUGGGGUCGGAAUCAACAGCAUUAUUAACUAUUUCACAGAUCCGGGAAUUGAACUCGAAAUCUCAUACUUACACAUCAAGAGCUCUGACAAUGAAGCCAUCUCCCUCGUUGAGGUCAACUGGGUGAUAUGGUCUACUGUGGUCCAAAGGCUGAGGAGCAAGUUCAAGGUCAGCAUGGGCCACAGAAUGAGGGUCUAACUCAGCUUCUCCCUCUCCCCACCCAAAAAGGACAAGAAAAAGAUUAAAUUCUGUAAAAUCCCCUCUGAUCUCUGAAUAAGAUACAAGUUUUCCCCCUGUAAAGAUCCAAUGGCUUCUCAAAUAAAACUUUAUUUUACUUUU